CUUGCAUUCUUUUAUCAUUCCUACGCAUUAUGCUUAAGCUUGAGGCAAAUAAAUUUAAGGAAAAAAAAAAACUAUGAUAGAGACUCUAUAAUCUAAUUUUAUAUAGAUAUUAAUUUCACUGUACAUAGUAGACCAUGAAGUUUUUCUAACAUAUAAUAGUGCAAUUAGAGGCGCACCUAUAGAUCGAUUUUGAUAGCUUUGUCAGAUCUAGGACGUGGUCCACAACUCAAAAUUUCACUGCUCCAAUUUAUGGCCAUUUGUUCUAAUUUCUUUUUGUCAUUGGUAGGCUUUCCAUUGCAGUUUGCCCUUGAAACAUGGA
rnacentral:lncRNA from 1 species